rnacentral:rRNA from 1 species
AGUGAACGCUGGCGGUAGGCCUAACACAUGCAAGUCGAACGGCAGCACAGUAAGAGCUUGCUCUUACGGGUGGCGAGUGGCGGACGGGUGAGGAAUACAUCGGAAUCUACUUUUUCGUGGGGGAUAACGUAGGGAAACUUACGCUAAUACCGCAUACGACCUACGGGUGAAAGCAGGGGAUCUUCGGACCUUGCGCGAUUGAAUGAGCCGAUGUCGGAUUAGCUAGUUGGCGGGGUAAAGGCCCACCAAGGCGACGAUCCGUAGCUGGUCUGAGAGGAUGAUCAGCCACACUGGACCUGAGACACGGUCCAGACUCCUACGGGAGGCAGCAGUGGGGAAUAUUGGACAAUGGGCGCAAGCCUGAUCCAGCCAUACCGCGUGGGUGAAGAAGGCCUUCGGGUUGUAAAGCCCUCUUGUUGGGAAAGAAAAGCAGCAGGUUAAUACCCCGCUGUUCUGACGGUACCCAAGGAAUAAGCACCGGCUAACUUCGUG